rnacentral:rRNA from 1 species
GACGAACGCUGGCGGCGUGCUUAACACAUGCAAGUCGAACGGAAAGGCCCUGCUUUUGUGGGGUGCUCGAGUGGCGAACGGGUGAGUAACACGUGAGUAACCUGCCCUUGACUUUGGGAUAACUUCAGGAAACUGGGGCUAAUACCGGAUAGGAGCUCCUGCUGCAUGGUGGGGGUUGGAAAGUUUCGGCGGUUGGGGAUGGACUCGCGGCUGAUCAGCUUGUUGGUGGGGUAGUGGCUUACCAAGGCUUUGACGGGUAGCCGGCCUGAGAGGGUGACCGGCCACAUUGGGACUGAGAUACGGCCCAGACUCCUACGGGAGGCAGCAGUGGGGAAUAUUGCACAAUGGGCGGAAGCCUGAUGCAGCAGCGCCGCGUGCGGGAUGACGGCCUUCGGGUUGUAAACCGCUUUCGCCUGUGACGAAGCGUGAGUGACGGUAAUGGGUAAAGAAGCACCGGCUAACUACGUG